UCCGACUUAACGUCGGCAGUCCCUCUAGAGUGCCCAACUAAAUGCUGGCAACUAAAGGCAAGGGUUGCGCUCGUUGCGGGACUUAACCCAACAUCUCACGACACGAGCUGACGACAGCCAUGCAGCACCUGUGUACAGACCCUUGCGGGCGACACCAUCUCUGGUAGUCUUCCUGUACAUGUCAAAUCCUGGUAAGGUUCUUCGCGUUGCAUCGAAUUAAACCACAUGCUCCACCGCUUGUGCGGGCCCCCGUCAAUUUCUUUGAGUUUUAAUCUUGCGACCGUACUCCCCAGGCGGGAUACUUAACGCGUUAGCUUCGCCACUGAAGGGGUCAAUACCUCCAACGGCAAGUAUCCAUCGUUUACAGUGCGGACUAC
rnacentral:misc_RNA from 1 species